GGACUACAAGGGUAUCUAAUCCCGUUCGCUCCCCUGGCUUUCGCGCCUCAGCGUCAGUAGGUGUCCAGCACGCCGCUUUCGCCACCGGCGUUCCUUCCGAUAUCUACGCAUUUCACCGCUCCACCGGAAGUUCCGCAUGCCCCUACACCCCUCGAGAAUGGCAGUAUCCACGGCCGUUUGUCGGUUAAGCCGACAGAUUUCACCACAGACUUGCCACCCCGCCUACGCGCCCUUUAAGCCCAAUGAUUCCGAACAACGUUCGCACGGUUCGUCUUACCGCGGCUGCUGGCAC
rnacentral:rRNA from 1 species